AGCAGUCGCCGCGGUAAUACAGAGGGUGCGAGCGUUAAUCGGAUUUACUGGGCGUAAAGCGUGCGUAGGCGGCUUCUUAAGUCGGAUGUGAAAUCCCUGAGCUUAACUUAGGAAUUGCAUUCGAUACUGGGAAGCUAGAGUAUGGUAGAGGAUGGUAGAAUUCCAGGUGUAGCGGUGAAAUGCGUAGAGAUCUGGAGGAAUACCGAUGGCGAAGGCAGCCAUCUGGCCUAAUACUGACGCUGAGGUACGAAAGCAUGGGGAGCAAACAGGAUUAGAGACCCGUGUAGUCCCUGUCUCUUAUAC
rnacentral:rRNA from 1 species